AUUGAACGCUGGCGGCAGGCCUAACACAUGCAAGUCGAACGGUAACAGGAAGAAGCUUGCUUCUUUGCUGACGAGUGGCGGACGGGUGAGUAAUGUCUGGGAAACUGCCUGAUGGAGGGGGAUAACUACUGGAAACGGUAGCUAAUACCGCAUAACGUCGCAAGACCAAAGAGGGGGACCUUCGGGCCUCCUGCCAUCGGAUGUGCCCAGAUGGGAUUAGCUAGUAGGUGGGGUAACGGCUCACCUAGGCGACGAUCCCUAGCUGGUCUGAGAGGAUGACCAGCCACGCUGGAACUGAGACACGGUCCAGACUCCUACGGGAGGCAGCAGUGGGGAAUAUUGCACAAUGGGCGCAAGCCUGAUGCAGCCAUGCCGCGUGUAUGAAGAAGGCCUUCGGGUUGUAAAGUACUUUCAGCGGGGAGGAAGGGAGUAAAGUUAAUACCUUUACUCAUUGACGUUACCCGCAGAAGAAGCACCGGCUAACUCCGUG
rnacentral:rRNA from 1 species